CCCUUAGAUGUUCUGGGCCGCACGCGCGCUACAAUGGUCUUCGCAAACGGAUGCAUUCUCGAAGGAGAAUGCCAAUCUUGGAAUCUAUGCCUUGGUCGGGACAGUUGCUUGCAAUUUUUCGACUCGAACCAGGAAUUCCUUGUAAUCGUGAUUCAUCACAUCACGAUGAAUACGUCCCUGCCCUUUGUACACACCGCCCGUCGCUCCUACCGAUCGAAGAGUUAGGUGAAUUGUUUUCAUCGAUAAGAUUUGACUAUGGUCAACUCUCGUUGUGAAAUUCUGUGAAUCUGACUGUUUAGAGGAAGGAAAAGUCGUAACA
rnacentral:rRNA from 1 species